UACGUAGGCUGCGCGCGUUGUUCGGAGUUACUGGGCGUAAAGGGUGUGUAGGCGGUCCUCUAAGUUUGGUGUGAAAUCUCCCGGCUCAACCGGGAGGGUGCGCCGAAAACUGGAGGGCUAGAGUGCGGGAAGGGAGAGUAGAAUUCCUGGUGUAGCGGUGAAAUGCGUAGAUAUCAGGAGGAAUACCGGUGGUGCAGACGGCUCUCUGGACCGCGACUGACGCUGAGACACGAAAGCGUGGGUAGCAAACAGG
rnacentral:rRNA from 1 species